rnacentral:rRNA from 1 species
CCUACGGGAGGCAGCAGUGAGGAAUAUUGGUCAAUGGGCUUACGCCUGAACCAGCCAAGUCGCGUGAGGGAAGACUGCCCUAUGGGUUGUAAACCUCUUUUGUCAGGGAGCAACGCCGGCUACGUGUAGCCGGACUGAGAGUACCUGAAGAAAAAGCAUCGGCUAACUCCGUGCCAGCAGCCGCGGUAAUCCGGAGGAUGCGAGCGUUAUCCGGUUUUAUUGGGUUAAAGGGGUGCGUAGGCGGAAUGCCAAGUCAGCGGUAAAAUCGCGGGGCUCAACCUCGCUCCGCCGUUGAUACUGGCGGUCUUGAGUGGGCGAGAAGUAUGCGGAAUGCGUGGUGUAGCGGUGAAAUGCAUAGAUAUCACGCAGAACUCCGAUUGCGAAGGCAGCAUACCGGCGCCCAACUGACGCUGAAGCACGAAAGCGUGGGUAUCGAACAGGAUUAGAUACCCGAGUAGUC